rnacentral:rRNA from 1 species
CAGCAGCCGCGGUAAUACGUAGGUCCCGAGCGUUGUCCGGAUUUAUUGGGCGUAAAGCGAGCGCAGGCGGUUAGAUAAGUCUGAAGUUAAAGGCUGUGGCUUAACCAUAGUACGCUUUGGAAACUGUUUAACUUGAGUGCAGAAGGGGAGAGUGGAAUUCCAUGUGUAACGGUGAAAUGCGUAGAUAUAUGGAGGAACACCGGUGGCGAAAGCGGCUCUCUGGUCUGUAACUGACGCUGAGGCUCGAAAGCGUGGGGAGCAAACAGGAUUAGAUACCCCAGUAGUCCCUGUCUCUUAUACA